UACGUAGGGUGCGAGCGUUGUCCGGAAUUAUUGGGCGUAAAGGGCUCGUAGGCGGUUUGUCGCGUCGGGAGUGAAAAACCUUGGGCUUAACUCAGGGCUUGCUUUCGAUACGGGCAGACUAGAGGUAUGCAGGGGGAGAACGGAAUUCCUGGUGUAGCGGUGAAAUGCGCAGAUAUCAGGAGGAACACCGGUGGCGAAGGCGGUUCUCUGGGCAUGAUCUGACGCUGAGGAGCGAAAGUGUGGGGGAGCGAACAGG
rnacentral:rRNA from 1 species